GAAGAGGUGCGGUCAGCCGCUUGAUAAAUGAUCGGGCGGGGCGUAUUCAAGGCGCCCCGCCAGCUUUUUCGAAAUCCGUUGGGGGCGCAAGCCCCACGAGGGUUCGAAUCCCUCCCUCUCCGCCA
rnacentral:tRNA from 1 species